rnacentral:lncRNA from 1 species
GAAGGCUGACCUGGAUGGGCUACCUCAGCAGAUCGCAAAGCGUGCCCAAACCCCUGAGCCUCCUCAAGACUUUGGCACCAGAGAAGCUCUGCGCCCAGAUACACUGUCUCUGGUCUCCAGUGGUUGUGGAAUCUGGGAAGAGGUGCAGAAAUGGCGCGCAAGAGCAGCUGCAUCUGGGAUUCAGUGUCCUCUUCGCUCUGCAUUGACUGCACCCUCACCCCCUCCCCCAUGAUGUAAAGCAAGCAUGAUGAAGCCAUUUUGCUGGUAGUGAUUAUAGAAGACAGUGACAUCAAAGAGGCUCUGUCUGAAUUUGGAAGCCCAAACACAAAAGAAAACCAAACUGAAACAAGAGAAGGAAACUUCUAUAGCAUUAAAAACCUGGAAAUGCC